rnacentral:rRNA from 1 species
GACGAACGCUGGCGGCGUGCCUAAUACAUGCAAGUAGAACGCUGAAGAGAGGAGCUUGCUCUUCUUGUAUGAGUUGCGAACGGGUGAGUAACGCGUAGGUAACCUGCCUUGUAGCGGGGGAUAACUAUUGGAAACGAUAGCUAAUACCGCAUAACAAUGGAUGACACAUGUCAUUUAUUUGAAAGGGGCAAUUGCUCCACUACAAGAUGGACUUGCGUUGUAUUAGCUAGUUGGGGAGGGAAUGGCUCACCUAGGCGACGAUACAAAGCCGGCCUGAGAGGGGGAUCGGCCAACAUGGGAAUGAGACCAGGCCCAGACUCCCAAGGGAGGCAGCAGUAGGGGAUCUUCGGGAAAUGGGGCAACCCUGACCGAGCAACGCCGCGUGAGUGAAGGAGGUUUUCGGAUCGUAAAGCUCUGUUGUAAGUCAAGAACGGGUGUGAGAGUGGAAAGUUCACACUGUGACGGUAGCUAACCAGAAAGGGACGGCUAACUACGUG